rnacentral:rRNA from 1 species
UACGGAGGGUGCGAGCGUUGUCCGGAAUCACUGGGCUUAAAGGGUGCGUAGGCGGCGCAGUAAGUUGGGUGUGAAAUCCCUCGGCUUAACUGCGGGGCUGCCGGUCAUACUGGCGAGCUAGAGCACGGUAGGGGCAGAUGGGAUUCCCGGUGUAGCGGUGGAAUGCGUAGAGAUCGGGAAGAACAUCAGUGGCGAAGGCGGCCUGCUGGGCUGUUGCUGACGCUGAGGCGCGACAGCGUGGGGAGCAAACAGG